rnacentral:rRNA from 1 species
GACAGAGGGUGCAACCGUUGUUCGGAAUUACUGGGCGUAAAGCGCGUGUAGGCGGCUUGGCAAGUCGGGUGUGAAAGCCCUGGGCUUAACCUAGGAAGUGCUUUCCAAACUACUGGGCUUGAAUACUGGAGAGGGUCGCGGAAUUCCCGGUGUAGAGGUGAAAUUCGUAGAUAUCGGGAGGAACACCAGUGGCGAAGGCGGCGACCUGGACAGAUAUUGACGCUGAGGUGCGAAAGCGUGGGGAGCAAACAGG